rnacentral:rRNA from 1 species
CCUACGGGUGGCAGCAGUGAGGAAUAUUGGUCAAUGGGCUUACGCCUGAACCAGCCAAGUCGCGUGAGGGAAGACUGCCCUAUGGGUUGUAAACCUCUUUUGUCAGGGAGCAACGCCGGCUACGUGUAGCCGGACUGAGAGUACCUGAAGAAAAAGCAUCGGCUAACUCCGUGCCAGCAGCCGCGGUAAUACGUAGGGGGCAAGCGUUGUCCGGAAUGACUGGGCGUAAAGGGAGUGUAGGCGGCCUUGUAAGUUAGAUGUGAAAUCCUACGGCUUAACCGUAGAACUGCAUCUAAAACUGGGAGGCUGGAGUGCAGGAGAGGUGAGUGGAAUUCCUAGUGUAGCGGUGGAAUGCGUAGAUAUUAGGAGGAACACCAGAGGCGAAGGCGACUCACUGGACUGUAACUGACGCUGAGGCUCGAAAGCGUGGGGAGCAAACAGGAUUAGAUACCCCUGUAGUC